rnacentral:rRNA from 1 species
GGCUCAGAACGAACGCUGGCGGCAGGCUUAACACAUGCAAGUCGAACGCACCGCAAGGUGAGUGGCAGACGGGUGAGUAACGCGUGGGAACCUUCCCUUUGGUACGGAAUAACUUCGGGAAACCGAAGCUAAUACCGUAUAUCUCCUGUGGGAGAAAGAUUUAUCGCCAAAGGAUGGGCCCGCGUUGGAUUAGCUAGUUGGUAGGGUAAAAGCCUACCAAGGCGACGAUCCAUAGCUGGUCUGAGAGGAUGAUCAGCCACACUGGGACUGAGACACGGCCCAGACUCCUACGGGAGGCAGCAGUGGGGAAUAUUGGACAAUGGGCGCAAGCCUGAAUCCAGCCAUGCCGCGUGAGUGAAGAAGGCCUUAGGGUUGUAAAGCUCUUUUGGCGGGGACGAUAAUGACGGUACCCGCAGAAUAAGCCCCGGCUAACUUCGUGCCAGCCGCUGC